rnacentral:rRNA from 1 species
UUCGAGUGGCGGACGGGUGAGUAACGCGUGGGUAACCUGCCUUACACAGGGGGAUAACACCUGGAAACAGGUGCUAAUACCGCAUAAGCGCACAGGGCCGCAUGGCCCGGUGUGAAAAACUCCGGUGGUGUAAGAUGGACCCGCGUCUGAUUAGCUUGUUGGCCGGGGGUAGAGGCCCACCAAGGCGACGAUCAGUAGCCGGCCUGAGAGGGUGGACGGCCACAUUGGGACUGAGACACGGCCCAAACUCCUACGGAAGGCAGCAG